GUCCAACCCCGCUAGGGUUUCCCCCCUCUUCAGCACCCAGCCCGUAUAAGUACGAGGCGAGAGCCCCCGCCGCCAACAAUCUAACGAGAGCCCCCGCCGCUAGGGUGUUCGUCCACACACUCCCGCCGCCGCCAUCCCCGCGAACCGGAGAGCGAGGCCGACACCGCCGCCGCGAUGAGGGCCAAGUGGAAGAAGAAGAGGAUGAGGAGGCUCAAGAGGAAGCGCCGAAAGAUGAGGCAGCGAUCCAAGUAGGUGCCUUGGAGGGAGGGGAAGCAUCAUCUUACAUCCAGGCAGCGGAACUCUGAGGGAUGAUGGCAUUGUCCGAGUGAUUCCUGAUUUGUUUUGCGGUUGUGGCUGUGGAAGUUGCUUUACCUGUGUUUAGCUGUUUAAUACUAGUCUGGCUAUGUUCCAGGACUGAGUUUUAUGUAAUGUGAGGAUUAUAUGUGUUUGUGACUGAAUUUUAUGCACCUAUUAUCUUUGAGGUA